GUGAUGUAGCUCAGCUGGUAGAGCAUCGGACUGAAAAUCCGUGAGUCGGUGGUUCGAGUCCACUCAUCACC
rnacentral:tRNA from 1 species